CCGACGAUAAGAUAAGUUUAUUACUCCGACUUGUCAGCACGAUGGAGUUUAAAAACUAGCGUUUUCUGGGUUUUUAAAUUUUUCCUUUUAAUUAAACAGGCUGAUCAUUUUGUCAAAAAAGAAGGAUAUUGUAUGUGGUAUGGACAGUGUGGAAUAAACCCUUUCGCAAACAAACCUAUUAACUGUUUAUACAACGGACCAGCAAAGCCAGUCGCCGACCGAGAAUCUCAUGAAAUCUUAGCGCAAUUAUGCCCGGAAUUAUCACUGUCCAAUAGCAAAUGCGACCAUAACAUCAUGCAAUGAAUCGUUCUAUGAUCCCUUGAGCAAGUCGACAAUGGAGGCAUGUGAUUGUCGGGACUGCAUCGAGUCGUGCAAGCAUCCUUUCCCGAUAAAGUUGCAAGAGUAUUUGGCGGC